rnacentral:misc_RNA from 1 species
GAUGAAGAACGUAGCAAAAUGCGAUACUUGGUGUGAAUUGCAGAAUCCCGUGAACCAUCGAGUUUUUGAACGCAAGUUGCGCCCGAAGCCUUUUGGCCGAGGGCACGUCUACCUGGGCGUCACGCAUCGCGUCGCCCCCCACAAUUCUCCGUAAAGGGAACGUGUGUUUUGGGGGCGGAUAUUGGUCUCCCGUGCUCAUGGCGUGGUUGGCCGAAAUAGGAGUCCUUUCGAUGGACGCACGAACUAGUGGUGGUCGUAAAAACCCUCGUCUUUUGUUUCGUGCUGUUGCUCGCAAGGUAAACUCUUUAAAAACCCCAAUGUGUCGUCUCUUGACGACGCUUCGACCGCGACCCCAGGUCAGGCGGGACUACCCGCUGAGUUUAAGCAUAUCAAUAAGCGGAGGA